GACGAACGCUGGCGGCGUGCUUAACACAUGCAAGUCGAACGGAAAGGCCCUGCUUUUGUGGGGUGCUCGAGUGGCGAACGGGUGAGUAACACGUGAGUAACCUGCCCUUGACUUUGGGAUAACUUCAGGAAACUGGGGCUAAUACCGGAUAGGAGCUCCUGCUGCAUGGUGGGGGUUGGAAAGUUUCGGCGGUUGGGGAUGGACUCGCGGCUUAUCAGCUUGUUGGUAGGGUAGUGGCUUACCAAGGCUUUGACGGGUAGCCGGCCUGAGAGGGUGACCGGCCACAUUGGGACUGAGAUACGGCCCAGACUCCUACGGGAGGCAGCAGUGGGGAAUAUUGCACAAUGGGCGGAAGCCUGAUGCAGCAACGCCGCGUGCGGGAUGACGGCCUUCGGGUUGUAAACCGCUUUCGCCUGUGACGAAGCGUGAGUGACGGUAAUGGGUAAAGAAGCACCGGCUAACUACGUG
rnacentral:rRNA from 1 species